rnacentral:lncRNA from 1 species
UCCCUGCCGUAAAGCUGCGCCCUCGAGGCCGUGGGUAGGCCGCCCCUCCCAACGUCGGCGUCUCCUCCUAUUCCCCGGAGCGUGCGCAGGCUGGAGGUAAAUGAAGAAUUCAGAGCUUGAACCCAAGUUCGAAACAAGAUGCCAAAAAAGGAAGAAAAGAUCAAAGAGCUUGGAACAGAAUUCCGGCAAAAUCAAAAACAGUAAUGCGCUCAGAGGUCCUGAGUGGGAACCAGUGUCAUGUUGAAGGUGAACAAACGAAACCUUUCAUCUGAUCCCAGGUUUUAUUCUAGGUUCGAGUCUAAGAGGGCCAGAACGAGGCAUAAGGCAAAGCACAAGUUUUCUUAGCGAGCAACAGGAAAAGACAACGUGCUCUUCUAUACGUGACAAAUGUAACAAGGUAGGUCAUGAUUCUGAUUCCUAUAAUAUCUCAAAAAGGAAACCAAAUCUCAAGCCUUUGGACUAAUGUAGUAUGUGAACAAGAAACUUAUUAAAGAAAAUUGAGGGUGUUUUCAGCAGGAUGUGUUGCUGGGAG